rnacentral:rRNA from 1 species
AUCAGUAGAUUUUGAGGCUUCAAGUCUCGAUGAAGAACACGGUGAUGAUGGCAAAAAGCAAUUCCUCUAAGAAGCUGAUACAGAAAAGAUUUCAUAAUCGAAGCUUCUAA